rnacentral:rRNA from 1 species
UGAGGUAUAUUGGUCAAUGGGCGAGAGCCUGAACCAGCCAAGUAGCGUGCAGGGUGACGGCCCUAUGGGUUGUAAACUGCUUUUAUAUGGGAAUAAAGUGAGGGACGUGUUCCUUAUUGCAUGUACCAUACGAAUAAGGACCGGCUAAUUCCGUGCCAGCAGCCGCGGUAAUACGGAAGGUCCAGGCGUUAUCCGGAUUUAUUGGGUUUAAAGGGAGCGUAGGCUGUUUGUUAAGCGUGUUGUGAAAUGUAGGAGCUCAACUUUUAGAUUGCAGCGCGAACUGGCAGACUUGAGUGCGCACAACGUAGGCGGAAUUCAUGGUGUAGCGGUGAAAUGCUUAGAUAUCAUGACGAACUCCGAUUGCGAAGGCAGCUUACGGGAGCGCAACUGACGCUAAAGCUCGAAGGUGCGGGUAUCGAACAGG